rnacentral:sRNA from 1 species
UCUGGGUGUAGUGGUGCACACCUGUAGUCCCAGCUACUUGGGAGACUGAGGUAGGAGUAUCACAAGUUUAAGAUCAUCCUCAGCUACUUAGCGAGACCCUGCCUCAA